GUGAUUGAAGCCAAGGAGAAAUCAGAAGGCGUUGCUCGUGGAGGAGGGCGGCAGCGAGGUUGGUAAAAUAAUUUAAAUAAAUGAUGAGCUAGUUUAGUCAAUUUAAUGACUAAAUUAGUAAAUUACUUAAAUUAAAGAAUUAAUUUAGUAGUUUCGACAAUAAGGUAAUUAGAAGUUUGGUUUAAUUGGUUAAUUUAGUGAGUUAAUUAAAUUAGUUAACUUCAUAAAUUAAGUUAAGUUAGUAGAUUGGUUUAGUGGAUUAGUUUGUGAUUAUUUAAUUAAUUAACCUUAUGCUAUACAUAUAAUUUUACUAAAAAGAGAAAGAAAUGGCAGCAGUGGCGCGCGCAGGAGGUGCAUGCGCAAGUCGCUGGAAGGAUGAAGAAGAUAAAUAGGAAGGAGAGAAAAGAAAAAGAAAAGAAGAGAAAAAGAAAAUAAGAAAAAGAAAAGAAAAGAAAAAAAAGGAAGAAAAUGUAAGAAAAAUAUAGAAAAAUUCUGAAAAAUAGAAAAUUACUUUUCGGUAAUAUUCCAGAGAAUUUGGCGAGAAAAAAAUUGUUCAAGCACGCGUUUCAAGGCAGUACAUGAAAAUCGAGAUCAGGCACGCAAAUCGAGGCGAUGCGUAUUUUUUUGAGGUGUGCUAAAAUUUGAGCAUCAGUUUAGAUUUGCAGCUUAGGCAAGGAACAUGUUGAGAUAUGACGGCACGUGAUGGUGUGGCCGAUGGAUUCAGCGAGCUGAUUCAGAUAUGUUUUAACUGAUGCUUUAUUGAUGAUUAGUCUUGUUAGAAUAUUAUGGAAUCUCCAUGUAUUUAUGUAUUUCAAUAUUGAGGAUAUGAUGUUAAUUAUGGUACAGAUUCUUAUGUUAUAAAUAAAGUGAAUUGAUUAUAUACCAUAUCAAGUUUCGAUUAUCACUUCCACAUUUUUAAUGAUUUACUAGGGGUUUUGCUUGGAAUUCGGUUGUAAUACCCCAUGUUCGUAUGAAGUUGCCACGUAAUUCUGAUGAGUUUAGAAUACUGAAAAAUUGAAUUAAUAGUAGUUACAAGUACCGAAUCAACUGCAGGGAGUGUCUUAGGGUAGAAUUAUCUAAGAAAAAUGAUAUGAUUUCAAUGAGCACUCCGAGAUAGAAUUUAUGGUAUCGAAAGAAAUCUGAUCGGGAACAGUUUUCGGUACAGCUAAAAUGCAGCUGCCAUUUAGGCUGCAAAAUCGAAUCGUUGCAGGAGGCUCCCGAAAAAUUAACGGAACCCUAGGGAGGCUUCGAUUUUUCGUAAGGAUCAACCCUUCAGUGGUUUCGGGAUGAAAUGACAGCCCGAUACGGACACUGGGGCGAAAUUGUCAUUUUUAACUAAGAAUUGGAUUAUUAAUUUUGUGUUUUCGAUAUUUUAAUGCCAAAUAAUUCAGUGUUUGAGGAUAUUAUCGUAAUUAGAGAAUUAUUUUAAUAAAUGUAAGGUUAAAAUUGGGCAUUUAAAUAUAUAUUCAUUUUUUAUAAUGUAAUUUAUAUGCAAUAUAUAUAUAUAUAAUAUAUGUGUAUACGCAUGGCAGCCUCUGUAAAAAUGCAACCCAUGCUCUGCAUAAUAUAUGUACACGCAAUGCCUCUGUAAAAUGCAACCCAUGCCCUGUUGCAAUCAGCCACGCCCCCUGCAAGAUUAAAAUCACGUCUCUGCAUGAUUUGGAAGAUUUUAUACGCAAGGAAGAUUAUGUACGCAAGUGUGGCCAUGCCCUGUGAACUCUCUGGCCAUGCUCUGUAAAUGCUGUAAUCUUCACGCUAAAAUGAGGGAUGGCCGAAGGAAUUGAGGGUCGGGAUUGCCUAUAAAUAGAAGAGGAAGUGGAGAGCAAAUGCAAGAAAUGUAGAAGGAAAGGAAAGCUUGGGCAGGCGGCCAUGGCAGCACCUCGAGUGGAGCAGGGCAGCAGCAGCAAGCUGCGACGGUGUGCGGAUGCGGGGCCGAGGCAACCUCGUACGGUGGUUCGUGGCGAGAGGCAGCUUGCUGGCGCGGCGAUGGAGUCCGAGAGGCGGCCAAGAGCAGCAAGCCCGCGGCCAUGGUAGCCAUGGCCGCGAGCUCACCGAGCUGGAGCAGCUGCCGCGGUGAUGGCAGCAGGGUGCGACCCGAUGAGGUGCUUCAGCUCGCGGUGGUGGCUCACGGCGGGAACGGAGGCUGGCGGCGGCCGACGGAGGGCGAAGGUUGGCUGGUUGGCGGUGGAGCUGUACGCGCAUGAAGCUGGGCGCGCGAAGAAGCUGCAGGCACGAUGCAGAGAAAGAAGAAAGAGGAGAAGGAGAAGAAGAAGAGAAGGAAGAAGAAAAAGAGAAGAAAAAGAAGAAAGAAGGAAAAGGAGGAAGAAGAAGAAGAAGUUGCAGACGCAGGAGGCGGGAAGAGGAGGAAGAAGAAGAAGGGAGGAGAAAGAAAAGAAAAAAAAGGAAAAGAAAAGAAAAGUAAGAAAGAAAAAAAAGAAAAGAAAUGAAAAAAAAAAAAGAGAAAAAUGUUGAAAAAAUUCCAGAAAAAUCCCAAAAGAUAGGAAACUAUAUUUUGGUAAUUUGUCGGAGAUUUUGGCGAGAAAAGUUGUCCAGGCACGCUUUUCGAGAAUGUGGCACGCAUAUCGAGGAAGUCGAUGAUGCUAAGUUAAGAUAAGUAAAAAAUUUCUUAGAAAAUUUUAGAAAUUUAGGAAUAUUAUUUUAUGAAUUUUCGUAGUGAAAUAUUUGAGAAAAUAUUUUUAUAAAUAUUUAGUUUGGAUUUAUUGAGGAAAAUUAAGAAAAAAUAGAAAAAAAAUAAUAGAAAAUGCUAGAAAUUAUGAAAAAAUAGGUUUUAAUGUUUAUUUAAAUAAUUAUGGUGAUUAGGAUGUUUUGAGAGGUAAGUUGAAGAGACUUGUGUAAAUUUUGAGGUUGGCAUGCAAAUCGAGGUAAGGCACGGAUAUCGAGGUAGCCCGAUAAGCUUGAGAAGUCGGGACUUGCAGAGAUGAUUCCGAGAUUGGUGAUAUGUAGUGGCGCGAGACAUCAAGAAGCGAGUAAAUGUACCAUGUUAUGUUAUGAGUAGUUUAAGAAUUAUGUACAUUGUAUUUAUUGUCAGACGCUUAUGAAUUAACUUUGUAAUGAAUGUCAUGAGCAGGUUCGAUUCAGCUUCCGCUUUGUAUUUAUUUCUAGUGUAGAUAUCUCGCACUAGAUAAGGUCUUAGGGAAUUUCGGGAUAAUGUAAAGAUAAAAAAAAAAAAAAAAGACCAAAUUUCCUAAGGCAUAAUACGCCCUGAAGAAGUGGGCUGUUACAUCGGUGAUUAAGGUUAUGUAUCGAGAAAGAAAGAAAAAAAUGAUUUAUGUAUAUUUUAGGUCUCAGCAUAGUGACACACUCGAUAAGAGAAAAACGGAGUGUUACAGACAGCGAGUGAAAAUAUGAAGGGAAGAAUAAGAUGGAUCCUAUACCUAA